rnacentral:rRNA from 1 species
GGAAAUCCAGGCUUUCCAGCCUUGACUUGUGAUCACAUGAUGCAAUACCAGCGUGGGUGCAGAUGCAAAUUCCUUGGAAAAGGUUACCAGCGCAGGUGAGCGUCCUGUCUGUCAUUUGCAGUCCCGCGCGUACGGUAUGCACUCUCAGAGUCACGUUCCUUGGGAGUGGAGCGCAAAGUGGGUGGUAAACUUCAUCUAAAGCUUAAUAUAUGUUUGAGACCGAUAGCGAACAAGUACUAUGAAGGAAAGAUGCAAAGGACUUUGAAAAGAGAGUUAAAAGCGCCUGAAAUUGCUGGAAGGGAAGUGAGUUGGACCAGUUUUGCUUGGUGAGAUUGGCGCAUGGCGCUGGCAUUCAUGUCAGUGUCUGCGUUGUUGCUUGCCUUGUCUGUCAGAACCAGUUCACUUGUGAAUUAAACAUUAUGCGUAGGCCGCACUCACUAUCAGUGUGUGUUCACGCAUCUGGGGAUUUACAAGUGGAUUGCGUUCAAACGCCAAGUUGUUGAGUGAUAGUUCAUUGCUGUUGUUCGAUUCUUGGCGUUCGUUUCUGACUACAUGGUCUCGUUCGACCCGUCUUGAAACACGGACCAAGGAGUCUAA